UGAUCGGAGGGUUGUGAUCUAUGUGAAGCCACAGGGGCUGCCCUCAGGGGUCCCUCCGCCCUAACGCCCCUCCCCUUCUCCGACCGCCGCUCUAUCUGCCUCUCCAGAAGGUUUCAAUCACAUAGAAAUCCCAUCGCUUCUCCUUCUCUUUACCGUUUCCUCGCCGUUUACCCUACGGAUAGAAAAGCUAUUCCAAGGGUUCAAGAACGGGAUCAUCGAAGGAGACAGGAGAUGCAAGGGGGGAAGGAGGAUGAGGAAAAGGUUCUGCGGUGCCAAAUCAACGAAUGGUACCCCAUGUUCAAGCCUCAUACUAUUCGCACCCUCUUCCACCCCCUCCCCGAUCCCUUCCUCCGCUACCUCCUCGGUCUCAACCCCGUCUCCCCACCUCCCCACGCCGACUCCCACAGCGACGACGACGAUGACGCGCCGCCGCCGUUCCUCCUUCCCCGUCCCGCGUCCGGCCGCGACCCCCUUCCUCGCCCCGCCGCCGGCAUUGACCCCACCUCCCUCCUCGACUGCUCGUCCCAGCUUUCCGUAUCCGACGAAGACGAAGCGGAAGCUGACUCCGCCCCGUCGUUUCCCGAGCUAGAGGCGGCGGUCGAGCGGUCCAUUACCGCCCUAGGCGGCGCCGCCUUCCCCAAGUUGAACUGGAGCGCACCCAAGGACGCCGCCUGGAUCUCCGCCGACGGCACCCUCCGCUGCUCCUCCUUUGCCGACGUUGCUCUCCUCCUUCACUCCUCCGACUCCAUCGCCCACGACCUCUCUUCCCACCCACUCCCCUCCUCCUCCUCCUCCUCCUCCUCCUUCCCACUCUUCACCUUUUACCUUGCCCUCCGCAAGUGGUACCCUUCUCUCCGCCCCGAGAUGGAGUUCCGCUGCUUCGCCCGCUGCCGCCGCCUCAUAGCCAUAUCCCAGCGCGAAGUCACCAACUUCUACCCCGCCCUUCUCGACCACCGCCACCACAUCCUGCCGCUCAUCCAGACCUUCUUCUCCGAGGUCGUGGGUCCCACGUUCGAGUCUCAGAACUACACCUUCGACGUUUAUGUCACCAGUGACGGGCGGGUGAAGCUUAUCGACUUCAACCCAUGGCGCGCCUUCACAUUACCCCUUCUCUUUACCUGGGAGGAGUUGGAGGAAGAAGCAUUUAAUUCCAAGGAGGAAGCAGUAGACAAAGAGCAGGGAGAAGAAGAAGCAAGAUUGGUGGAGUUUCGGAUUGUCGAAAGCCAAUGUGGGGUGAGGCCAGGGUUGAAGACGGCUGUGCCUUACGACUACUUGGACACAGGGGAAGGAAGUGGGUGGGAUCAGUUCUUGAGGAGAGCCGACGAAGAGCUGAGGAAGCAGGCCAAGACACCUUUGCACCCCAGUAAUGAUGCUUAAAGAAGAACAAAAGAUCUUUCAGCUUGAUUUCUUAUGGAUUUCUAACCAGGUUUGAAAUUAUGGGGGCUGGCUCUACUGAACAUUAUACCGGGCAAAGUCUGAGGACAGAUGUCAUGAGGAAUCUCAGUUGCCAACAAGCCAUUAACUGCAUGUACAGGUCCAACUUGCGACAGAAGUCUAUCAAUCAACUGAGGGCUUUGUUCGAGUACAACACUAGUCAGGAUUUGUGGUUUUAAAAUGACAGGAAGAAAGAAUUCGUCAUCGACAGGAAGAAAGAAUUCGUCAUUGACAGGAAGGUAAUGCAUCAUCUUCAUCGGACUCAUUAUGACACAUAGAGGCCUUUCGAACCGGAAUAUACAGAAGAGCAGCAAUCACGCUUUGGUUCACUGGAGAUGUCUCCGGACAGACUAAUGCCUCCUGUUUGCAGUCUGCUGGACAAGAUAGCAAUUCAAACAAGUAACUUCCCUGUAGACUCAAACCCUGAAAGCCGUGAUAGAAGGAAGUGCCAAAACAUUUUAAUUUCUCUGAUACACCGCAUCCUAUAGCGAGGAAAUGAAGCUUCGACUAUUUGUACAGGCCAAAAGACACAGAGGAGAGAACAUGGUGAGGAUUCGGAAGCCGGUGCCAAGGAAGGCAAGGGGCUCCUUAGCGGCGUGGCCACCGCCGAGACUCGUCGCCCAGUUCUUUUCUGAACCUACAUAAAUGUAAUCCUCAAUCUGACUUGAGUUGAAGAAACUAAAUUAUUUUUCUUUC